rnacentral:tRNA from 1 species
GGUGGGAUGGCCGAGUUGGUUAUGGCGCCAGGUUAAGGUUAUCUUAACACUAAUUCCUGGUUCGGAAACGAGCGUGGGUUCGAGUCCCACUCCCAUCA